UCAACGGUCGUACGACCGUUUUUAUCGUACGAUUGUCGUACGUCGAUAGUACGAUUUUGGUGGUGUCUUAUCAAACGUCGCAGAUUUUCAUAAUCGUACGAUUAUCCUAAGAUCAUGCAUUUUUUCUGCGAUCGCUGAGAAGCAGUCGCAGAUCAAACAAAAUGGCCGCCUUACUACUUGUAAACGAACGCCGCCGACGAAAAUCACGCUGUUUUCGGCAACGAACGGUUAAUAUUGAUGAUUUAACCGAUCGAGAAGUCAUUUCCCGAUACAGACUCAAUAAAGCAGCGAUUAAAGAGUUGGAAGAGCUCUGUCGGGCUGAUCUUUCUCCUAAAACGGGUAGAUCGCAGUCUAUUUGCAGCAUGACGAAGGUAAAUGUAUCGAAGUUUCACUGUAUUUAUUACUCUCUACAUUGUGUUUACAUUCGUAACUAAGCAGUUUGACCUUAACCUUGAUUUAUUUUUAGCCCAAGCAUUAUGGGUAAACAUGGCGCUGUGUUAUGUGUAUACAUACAAAAACAUUAGACUUGGAUCCACAAUAACACGGCUUUAAUUAGAGCUUUGAUAACAAUGCCGUUGUAAAAGAAAGGAAAAGUGAUGUUAUUAACAAAUUCAAUAAUUCUUAAUACGUCAGAGGAGAGGAAUUUCGAGGAAUUUGGCUGAAUUUGUAGAUAUUAUGAUCCGUAAACAAGGAGUGCAUAGCCAUAGGCAUAGGAUGAUCUGAUGAUAGGAGGAUUAUUUAAACCGGUUUCAUUACCUGUAAAAAUGGGCAAACGUGUUUUGUUAUGAAAUGUAAACACUGUUCAUUUUACAUUUAAUGGCUGGCAAUAUCAACAGUUGCUGAAGUUACGAGAAAUCAGUAAUAAACGAUAAAGGAUUAAUAAUUUAUGACAUAGCACUCGUCCAUGUCGUCUAUUAUUAAAGCUUAUCAUAAGUAUAGCACUAGCAGGUUCUUAUUGGACUUCGAUACCUCGCAAAAGGCGAUUUCAUAUCAGAAGUUGGAGACCUCCACGGGGUGUCUAAAGCCAGAGCUGCCAUUUACAUUCACCAAUUCAUACAAAGUGUAAACCUUCGAUUAAAGAAUAUUAGACACAUUUAGAACAAAGUAAUAAUGGGUUGUUAUUGGGGGAUAGUGGUUACCCUCUAAGGAGGUACCUCUUGACCCCAAAGGUGAAUCCGACAACACCACAAGAGGAAGCCUUCAAUAAACACCAUAGCAGAGGCAGAAUGGUGGUAGAAAAAGCCUUUGGUAUACUGAAGUCACGUUUCAGAUGCCUACACAAAAGUGGUGGUGUUCUACCGUUUUCACCAGAAAAGAGCAGCCAAGUUUUGUAGCAUGUAUGAGGCUACAUAACUUUUGUAAAACUAGAGGAGUACAAGAGCCUGUGGAGAUCAUCACACAGGAUGAUGAUGAUAAUGAUAAUAAUUUACCAAAUGGAGAUG